CAUUAGUCUCCGUCUUGUUCCU
rnacentral:siRNA from 1 species